CCUUUGAUAGCUCAGCUGGUAGAGCAGAGGACUGUAGAUCCUUAGGUCGCUGGUUCGAUUCCGGCUCAAAGGA
rnacentral:tRNA from 1 species